GGCUAUCGGGCAGCCGCCGAACCAGUUCAGAGAUCGCCGCUGUUUCGGUUCAGCCGUUCCUCCUUCGGUUCGUGUUGCUUUGGUUAUUGCGAAAGUGGCUGGGAGCUGAGGUUUUGGUUGCCGUCAGUUCGGGUUGAGCCGGAAAGGACUCUAUGAGACGUUUGGAUUAUGGAAUUGCGUUUUGAGGUAGGGGCGCUUUC